CUAACCAUAAUCAUGUUCCCAAAAUUCUUAUUAAGCUUAACAAUAAUUAUUAAGCAUUAAAAUGCUAGAUAGUCUACUUUCAACCUACUAUACAAAAGUAGAAUGAAAAAAUAAUUUCCUACUUUAUUAAAGUAGAAGGAAUGUUCCAGAGAAAAAGAAUGUUUUAUUUAAAUGUAUAUUUUAUUUCAUGUCCCCAUUUUAGUCUAAGUCUGGAGUAUCGAUUAAUUUAAGUAAGCCGCCAGGUGGGCCACUUGUCGAGGCAGAAGAGAACAGUUGAUGUUUUAAUUAAGUGUCUUGGCAGAAACAGAAGGUAGCCAUUGUUCAUUUUAGGGCGUGUAUCGCCAUUGACAACUCGUUUCUUACUGUGCUUUAUUGGUGUGAAUUCUCACCUUGUGACUCCCUAUUAUUCAUUUGAGACUUUGAGAUUAGGCCGGAUUAGGCCCUAGAUUUGAUUUUGUGUCGUUUGUGUCUACGAUUGCCUUAUUGACCGGCUCCCCAAUUGUGGAUGCUAGGAACUAACAUAUAACCACUCUGUCCCAUCCAACCCCUGUCCC
rnacentral:lncRNA from 1 species